AACGUGACAGCAACUCAGCAAGAAACGAACGUGAUGAGCGAUAGAUAAUAAAGUUAGGCUUGAAAUAUUUUUAAGUUGCUAAUACAUCAAAACUUAUCAGGUCUUAUCCUCCUUCAUACGAUGGAUUAAAUUAUUCAUCAUUUUGAUGUAUUAGAAGAGACUAAUGGAUAAGGUUAUCCAAUACAAUGUAACCACCAAACAACUGAUAAACACAUAACGUAUUGUAUAAGCUUAUACAAUCAGACCUAAUACAGUGU
rnacentral:lncRNA from 1 species